CUGCAAACACCUGGGGAGUUUAAAAAAAAACAACAAAAGCCUAAGAUCACUCUCCCCAGGCACGUCCAGGUGGUCAAAGGGAGCACAGGCCUCUGCCCCAUGAUGAUCCCCUCCUACAACUUCAGAGAUGAAGCAGGGCCUCGAGCCUGCACCUCAGAUUUCUAUAGCUUCUCAAAGUCCUGCGGGCAAUAACUGAGGAGACAAACCAAGCAGGAAACAGCU
rnacentral:snoRNA from 1 species